rnacentral:rRNA from 1 species
GACGAACGCUGGCGGCGUGCUUAACACAUGCAAGUCGAACGGAAAGGCCCUGCUGUUGUGGGGUGCUCGAGUGGCGAACGGGUGAGUAACACGUGAGUAACCUGCCCUUGACUUUGGGAUAACUUCAGGAAACUGGGGCUAAUACCGGAUAGGAGCUCCUGCUGCAUGGUGGGGGUUGGAAAGUUUCGGCGGUUGGGGAUGGACUCGCGGCUUAUCAGCUUGUUGGUGGGGUAGUGGCUUACCAAGGCUUUGACGGGUAGCCGGCCUGAGAGGGUGACCGGCCACAUUGGGACUGAGAUACGGCCCAGACUCCUACGGGAGGCAGCAGUGGGGAAUAGUGCACAAUGGGCGGAAGCCUGAUGCAGCAACGCCGCGUGCGGGAUGACGGCCUUCGGAUUGUAAACCGCUUUCGCCUGUGACGAAGCGUUAGUGACGGUAAUGUGUAAAGAAGCACCGGCUAACUACGUG